UUUUGUGUUUUAGCGGCGUUUUUUUGGGGAAAAUCGGAAUUCGGAAAAUCGGAAAACAAAUGCGCGCCGAAAAUUGUGCGACCAAUUGACGAGAUCGCGUACCACAGUGUGUGUUUUAGCUUUCCAAAUCGGAGCUUCGAACGGUGAGUGCUACGGGCGGGAGGUAUAUUUUUGAAAAUUGAAGUGCAAAAGCGGCGGCGGCCAAGAAGGCAAGGUGCAAAAGCCAUUAAUAAAAAAAUAAGAAAAAAAAAAGAAAAAUAGAAUCGUGGAAUAAAUGAGCGAAAGGAGGAGAGCGUUUACAACAAAAUACACACCGACGGACGACACGUAAAAAUAAGGAGACGCCGCCGCGCAGUGAAAAAAAAAGGAAUUUUUUUUGUGUACUACAAAGCGGCGCUGGUCUGGUUCCCUCCUCCUUGUUGUUGUUGUUGUCGUGCAUGUUGCCUUUGUUUAUGCUAGUUUGAGUGAGUGUGUUGUUACUGUUGUUGUUGUUGUUGUUAGCUUUACUAGCCGUUCUGUGAUUGUGAUUGGAAAACAGAAACGAAAAAUGAAAAAAAAUAGAAGAAAAUAGAAAAGAAAGCAGGAAAACAGAGUAGGAGAAAAAGAAACGAAAGUAAAAAAAACAACGAGAGUGCUGAAGGAAAAUUGCUAAAAAGUGAAAAGUUUAAUUUACUAAACAAGCGGGAGUAGCCCCCCCUCCACCCAACACCCCCACACUUCCUCACCCACACAAUCACACGAAUAGGACAGCGGCUGGCGGCGGCUUGAGUGUGUGUGUGUGUGUGUGUCUCUCUAUUUUUUGCAAUUUCUGCUGCACACGCUCAUUCGUGUUGGAUUAUUGGAUUAUACCGCCAUAACGGCACACGCACCAAACAACAACAACAAAAGUGAUGGCGGCGUUAAAACAACAACAAAAACGAUAAAGGAGAGCAGACGACGUUGGAUUAAUCAUUAAUGUCCUUCGAGAUAAGGAAAGUGACACAAGCGAAGAGGAAGCAGCAUCGUCCAGGAUCCUAAUAAGAAGAAGAAUUAGACAAAGAUGUAAGUGCUCGAAGAUAUGCCACCCACAUCCACCUGAAGGCUAACUAUUUUCUUUAAUUAAUUUAUUAACCAUAAAAUAAUUGAAUUAAAUUUAAUUGUCACAACCUUACUUUUUCGUGUUAUUUUAUCGGUAAUUACCUUUUGUUUUCUUAUUCCAAAAAUGUAAUUAGUUUAUAGAUAGAUUUUAAUUCAAUUAUUUCUGCGCUAGAUGCCCGAGAGAUGCAAUUAAAUUGAAGAGACUCUAGAAGAGUAAUAGCUCAAAGAUAUUUUAACCCAUUUACCAUGAAUGGCCAUAAAUAAUUGACUGAUUGCUGUUGAAAUUGAAUGAGAUGUGUCGCCUUGCAAAAAAAUGUGUAAAAAGAAAUGCAUUUGAUGUGUGCGCCAUGCCGUGCUCUAAAUCACAAACACAUAAGCCAAAAUUUAAUUAAAAUCCACUCAAAGCUGCAUCCGGAUUAUAGUGUGUGUCUAUCUGACUCUUCUCUAUUAUUUCCAUUGAUUUAUUUUUGAACAUUUUCAUUAAGUUUUUUGUGAAGAAAAACUUACUGGGUGUUCCCACUCGAAUAAACAUAAUCCCCAUGAUUUAUGGAUCUGGGCACAGAGAAUAAACACUCGCCAAGUGCUGGAGACUUUGUGCAAACUAUUAGCAACGAGAACGAGUGCCGAUAUUGAUAUAUGUAUUAGCAGGCAGCUAGUAUGUACAAUACAUGUUUAUUAUUAGCUGGCCUUUGGAGCAGCAGCAGCAGCAGCCGCAGAUGAGGGGGAGUGGUCCGUACCGGCCUGCAAUCAUAAUAAAUGUUCAUUGAAACCUUUUAAAAAUCGCGCUGUUGCAGCCACCACCACCGAUGCCGCUGCAAUGAAGCACUACAACAAUAAAUUUUAGCCACGGAUCGGGCCAGGGCAACCAGCCAGGUACCAACCAGGGACCAGCCAACCAACCAACCAACCAGCACAUAAACAUUAAUAAACUUGUUGCAAUCCAAAAGAUAAUUAGCCGUGGCUAGAGCUGCAGCCAACACCACACCAAGCCAAGCCGCCACACACAUCACAUAAAAUAAACCUCAAAGACAAGAGCAGCAACAAUUUGCUAUUUAGUAUAAAGUUUCAUUAAAAACCCACUACGACUGGCCGGGCCAUGGCCAUGCAUGGGAGUUGAGUGUGUAUCUUAAAGAUACACAUAGACCCUAAGAGAGUCUCCACUCCCCACUCCACACUGCAUCGCCUGCCUGCUGUCGAUCAUAAUUUAACAUAAAAAUGAUUUGAUUACUAUAAUUUCUUUUGUGUUUUGGUAUCACCUGGUAAGCUCAUUUACUACAACGGCAACGCCGCCUAUUACUCACACCGGUCCGGUCCGGUUCGGGGCCGGUCUGGUGCUGUCUCAAGAUCCCCUGGUCCGUCUUUGGCCAGAGUAUCCCCGCCAUGGACCUCACCGCAUGCAGCGUGUGUCGUUUUGUAUAUAUUUGUGGCUCGAACAGAACCCCAGGAAAAAAAUUAAGCUCAAAGAUGAACACGGCACAUGAAGAAAAGGGCAACGGGAAACGAAAUGAAACUGCGGGAAGGCAUCCCAGCACCCCAGAGUACCAUCCUUACACUGAUGAAAAUUUUUUAGAAACUGUCUUUAAAUCAGGUAGAUUUUAUAAUAAAAGUUUCUUAAAAUAGGAAGAGGUUUUAGGAGCAAGAAAAUGAAACAUUAUAUUAGGUUUUUCAAUCAGAAUAGCUAUAUAAGAUAUAAUAAUAUCUAGUAUCUCUAUGAAUAUCAUAGAUCCUAACAUAUAGAAACACCUGAGUAUUUUAUAACUUAUUAUAGAAGAUAUAACUUAUAGUUAGGGAUAAGAAUUCCUCAAUAUUACCUCAUCUAAUAUCUCAUCCAGUUAUACUUCUAUUUCAAAACUAUCCAAGUAUUAUAGAUCCUUACUUAUGGAAGUGUCUGACUCUUAUAGAACUUAUAGCAGAAGAAAUGAUUUGUAUAAUAUCUAGUCUAGUAAUAGUUGUUUUUUUUUUAAACUAUUUGAGUAUUAUGGAACAUUUUAUACAAGAAAUAUUUGAUAUUAGGAGCUAGAAUUUUUAUUUAUUAUGGUAUUUUAGAUAGAAAAGAUUAUUACAAUAGGAUACAAUAGACAAAGAUCUCUUUUCAAUAUUAUCUAUAUAAUAUAUCGAUAAAUAAUACCUCUUUAGAUUUUUAGCCCUUUUUCAAUGCCCUCCCUAUAACAUUUUCAAUACCCCCCCAUUAAUUUCCCUCAGUGCAUCACGAAAACUUGCUGCAGGCCAGCGAGGAGUCAAAGUCAGAAGACUGACAAACCCGUUCCGGUGCCGGUGCCCUGCAACAGCUCUCAACCUCAGUCUUCUCAGUCUCUCCCAACCAAAAACUUCAGUUUCUUCAAAAGAAGUCCAAGACCAAGAGACUCAGAGGAGGAAGACCAAGACCAAGACGGAGACGGAGACUUGGAGGCAAUAAUAGCAGCGACUUAAGAGCCACGGAGUAGUAUACUUCAUCGGGUGGUGGUACAAAUAUCUUGUUUCAUGUGUGCGCUGGACGUUAAUAGCAGGCCGUACCAUUGUCCAAAAGCCAGUCCCUGCCUCAUACUCCUAUCCCCCCUCUCUCUGAUAUCUGUAUAUGUUUUUGUUACCUGUCCCCUCCCCUCCUUACCUGACUCUGCCGCUUGCAUCUUCGCUGAGCGCCGCUUCUUGUGGCACAGUCUCCCUGCUGCAUUUCAUCAUUCAUGCGCAUUAUUUUAGAUUUGGGGAAGUCGGUUCUAGACUCUAGAGGUACUCUACAGUAAGGGUUUCUUAUAUUUGGAAGAAUUUAAAAAGAAAAGGAAUAGUAUUCUUCCAAAAUUAGUCUUGAAAAGUUUAUAAAAUCUAAUACUAUUCUAGUUAGUAGACACUACCUCCUUCUUAGGCUUAGUCCUCUGACUCUAGCUCCUUAAAGAACAUAUUUUUUUAAACCUGUAGAGCAUCUGCUAUUCGUCCUUUGAGGAACCAAACAACUUCCUUCAUUUUUUCUGCUGCAGUUCCAGCGUUUUGUGAGCUUCGGUAGGUAUCCUCUUCUGGCCCGGCUGCGUAUCGCAUUGGCCGAGUCUUAGAAGCGGAGAUUGAGUUACAUUGCUGGGGAUUAUUAUCAACUGUAUUAUCUUUUCUUCUCCUCUUUUCUUCUGGCGGCAACUGCUUUUGGCCAGAAACUGACUUCAAAAAAAAAAAAAAAAGCCAAAUAAAAAUUCGUUACGCCGCUGCAGCAUUUAUUCAAGUGGCGGUUGGUUGAAGAGUUGGGGAUUGAGGAGAUUCGUGGGUUUUGGUUUCGGGGUUUUCAUUCUUUUCUUUUCUUCUGUGUUUUUUUUCUGUGUUUUUUAGGGUUUUGCGCUUUUUUAAUGAUACCCUCUCAAGUAUUUUCUCUUUUUUUUGUGUGGUUCAAGUGCCUUUUUGGCCGUAAUUUGUUGUUUGUCCGUCCGGACUCCGGACAUGCAUGUUUCAUAAGUUUUGGGGCCAACAAUUGUGUAAAAUUAUGAGCUGUCCAUAUUUGCCAUUUGGCAUGGUUCCAGGGCAUCAGACAGAGCCAGAGCCACAACGUAUAGCCAUGUCGGGGUCUUUUGUUGCAUUUUUGUGGCCAUAAAACAAACUGGAGUAGGUGUUGUCGUUAAGUUUUGAUGUGCCACAUUAUACUAGACUCCCUGAGCAGUCUGCGACUGAGGCGGAGGCCACCCCAUUGUGCAGUUUAUGAUUGCAGAUGAAUGAAGCUACUAAAAGCGAGGAAGCCCACUGCGCUCUAAUGGGAAAUCAGAUUUUGGCCUAUUGGCAUAAAACCGAAGAGACUUGCUCUAGUUUUUAUUGAUUUUUUGGUAGAGACGACACUUUCACACACAGAGGAAACAUUAAAAUACUCCUAUUGGGUCUUCGGAUUGAAUAAAAGUCAAUGCCAUGCCGUCGAGGGAGUUGGAACUUUGAGGAAAUUAAAUCAGUGUUGGCAUUCAUGCGGAGGAAGUUUAUAAAUUGAAUUAUUGCUGAGUUUAUUUAUUCCAUUUAUGAUGUCUAAUCGAUUGCCUAAGAGACAUAAAAUGGUUAAUUAAUCCACAAUAAAAUGAAAGAGAUUCAAGAGUAUCGAUUACCAUUCUCUAGUCUCUGAAUUCUUUUUAUUGUCGGCCAUCCGAACCAAACUAUGUAUGUAGGUCACAUUACAGUUGGCAAAUGUCUGCGGUAGAGUUUUAAAUCAUAUUUAAAGAAUACGGCAAUAGAUGCCCCAACCACUAAGCCACAUUUUAUAUGCCACAACGGAAAGCUCUCUCGUAAGAGUUCCAUUGCACCACACUAAUAGUGGUAGUGGUGGUGGUUCAAGAUGGAAGCCAAAGCGGCAAAUGUUCCAGGAAACUAUAAAAGACAAUAGCGGCAAUAUGCCAGCUCUGGUUUUUGUGGUUUUUUAUGCUCGGACUCUAGACGCUAGCCCAUAGACUGGAGGAGCGAAAAGAAGCCUUUCUGGCUGCCUCUUGGCGUGGGCCUAAGUCAACAAAAAAAAAAAGCCUCAAUGCCUUUUGUUAUAUCAUAUUCCCGUAUAGUGCGCUGAAGCCCAGGCUCUUCAUAAAGGGGGAGGUUGUGUGGUAGCCGAGUUGUGUGUGCUCACGCAUUAAUAUAGUUUCCAAGAUCCAACUUCCAAGCCAAGACUACACAGAGAGAAGGCUUUAGAGACUACUUUUUAGAGGAAGCUAAAGCUAUUUCCAGUCUGCUCUUUAUUUUUCUUAGUGUUUUGUUUUUCUCAUCUGCACAAAUAUAGAUAUAGAUGUGUGUGAAAAUAGUUUAUGACAGGGUCGGGCUGGCUGGGGUGGCAAAUAAUGUUGUUUAUGUGCAGAACCGAACCGUAAAUAUAUGACGCACCUUGUGGUAAGACUGUGGCUGCAAGUGGUGCUGGUCAAGUGGUCGGUCAGAGUAACCCAUUCCAACUGCUCCCAUUCCCAUUCCCAGUUCCAUUGUGGUGUCGUCGCCAGAAUCGAAGAAGACUGGCGGCCUGGGUUUCUGUUACUGGUCAAGUGUUGCAGUUGCUUCCUGCCUUUCGGCCUGACACUCACCUGGUCUGGCUUGGACUUUCUAGCCAGCUUCUGCUUCUGGCAUUCAAUGGCCAAUUCUCCACGCAGCCUCAUCCUUGUUCUUGCUCUUGUAUUAUAUUUUCUUGGCAUUGGGUUGGCAUUCGCAUGGUUUGACUUGGCCCCUUCCCAUGACACCGGUUAAGAUGCAGUCUCAACCUCAGUCUCAGUCUCAGCUUCAACUUCAGCUGCUUUGUGCUUAUUUGGUUACUUUAUGCCAGUCUAUGUGCCUCUGCCUCUGCCACCGUCACCGCCUCCUCCGACUUCCUUCGAUAAUAAAGAUGACAAAAUAUCUAGAAAAAAUCAUAAACCUUGUGUGUAUGUUUGGAAAAUAAUAUCUUGCAGAUAUAAAGUACCAUUUAUGUCGUGCUUAUAUCUUAUUUCGCCAAAGUCGUGCCAUCGCAAAAGUCGCUAUUCGCUAUUUGCUAGUUGCUAGUCGAGAGUUGCGAGUCCCGCGAAUCGGGAAUCGCAUUCUAGCCAAGAAGUCCAAGAAGAUGUGGAAAAAAGUCCAGAAACCAAGUCCCAAUCGCGUAGCUGGAUGCGGCAUUUCGGUUCGCUUUUGGAGAACUGCUGCUGCGUUGGGAGAUUGCUUUGGUGGAGCGGAGGCUGCGUGGGCUACAGUGGUUUAACUAACGAGAUUUUGUAGAUAGAAAUUAAUAAUUAAAAGAGUUAAAGUAAAUACAUAAUAGUGGAAUACUAUAAUGUAUAAUAGUAAUAUAAUAAUAGUAAUAGUGAGGAAUAUAGGCUUUACUGGGGUGGAGGUUAUUUUUCAUCGAAAUUUACCAUUAAUUGAGAAACUAUGAUCAGUAAAAUUAAAAUUAUAGUUUUAGUUAGACUAUAGUUUAGUUAGACUAUUAAAUUAUUGAACCGAGGUGAUAAAAUACAACUAAAAAAUACCUUUAUAUGCUUUUAGGCACAAGACAGAAUUAUAAUAUCAGAAUAAUACAGUUUUGAAACCCUUUUAGCGAUGAAAACUGUUGCAAUGAUACGUAUUAUUUCCGUAAUAUUCGAUAUAUCUUCUUUAUUUAUACCAAAAUUGAGAUUUAAAUGCUAAAUUGUUAUAAAAUAUGUGUGUCAUAAUCCUACUUCCGUUAAUUGUAACUUAAAGCGCUAAAAUAAUCUCCAAAAUUAUAGAUUCAAUUCAAUUGUAUUUCCAUAACUUUUCUCAAAUACUUUUGUAAAAAAAAGCUUAUACUCAUUAGAAUCCAUAAUGUAAUAACUUUAAUAGAAUAGAAUAGAAAUAAACCAACAAUAAAGAUCAUCAAAGAGAACACUCUAAAGAUCUUCAAUAUUUUUAAGCACUUUUGAAUCCCUCUUAGCCCACUGUCCCCUGGACUUGUCUGGAGCUCUGCCGCACUUCUUCACAUGACGGCGACAGGCAAUUGGCCCAAUGCAGCGCCAGCGACGCCAAAGCCAUGGCCACGUUGUCAUUUUGGUCAAGACGGAGUAGGACCAUACCCGGAGAGAGAAGAAGUAGUACCAGAGGGGGCCCAGGAUAGAUGGCCGAGGAGGAGAGUGAGAGGAAUAUGUGGCAGCUUCUAUUGGGAAGUCUUUGUGCGCGGCCAAGACUAUUUUUUUUUUUGUUGUUGGCCAGUGUUGGCCAUAUUCCUUCUCAGUGGUAUAUGUGCUUUCAUUACGGGCUUAGUUCACGUCACAAUCAGUUGUUGGCAUCGUUUAUGCCGCAUUGCCACACAGAUACACACACACACAUACUGGCUUGGCUAGUUGGCUGCUGUGGCAGCUUCUUCAGCAAAUGUCUUUCAACUUAUCUCAUACACACACACAUGCACACACACACAUACAUAGUGUGGCAGGAUGAGGAGGCUCUUUUUCGCAAUUUGCAUGCAACCCCAGCACCACCCACCUUACCCCCUCAUGCCACUCGGCCGGAACGUGCAUGUAAUUUAUGCGUUUAGAUAACACUUUGCUAAUUUUGAAUGGCAUAAAUUUUUUUGCAACUGCCUCCUUGCCUCCUGCCUCCUUUAUUAGAAGAAGAAGAUGGAGUAGUGGCCCAGUCCUGCGGAUCGUGCCUGUAAUUGUGUGUGCGUGUCUCUUGUUUAUUUUUUUUUAUUUUUAUUUUUUUGCAUGCCACACUUAUGAUGAUGUAUUGAUUGUUCGAGGUGUCAGAUUUUUGUUGUGGCAAGAAGGCUCUGCCUCUGCUUCUUCCAACUCUUGCCGUAAUUAAAGGAAAUAUUUGAGAUAUGCCAAGAUAAUAGUGCUGGAAUGCUGUUGGAUUAAUUAAUUGAAAAUGAGUUGUGGAGGAAACAGCCUCCACCUCUGAGGGGCACCUCUGAUCUGGUUGGCUUAUUUGGUUUGGUGACUGUUGCUGGCCUGGGCCAGUCGUCUUGCCGCUUUUGUUGCGUCUGUUGGCCAUGUCGCCCGUUUGCUUAUCAGUGGCAGCAUUGACUUUUUAUGGCCAUGAGCGAGAGGAGCGACCGACUGGUCUCUGGACUGGAGUCUCUGUGAUUAAUAAGGAUUUUCAAGUCGUUAGCCGGCAAUCGUCUCGGGUCCAGUCCCCCUCCAGUCCAUUCAUCGCGUUUUUUUUAUGGACACGUUCUCCGCAGGGGGACGUCUCAGAGAGACGAGGCAGGCAAAUUACCGAUUUCAACAAUGUCGCUCAAGUGGCUUAAGUUAACUUUGGCUUUGACAAAGGCUCAGGUUCAGGCUCAGACCCAGGAAGGAGGAAGGAAAAAAUCCAGCAGUUGAUGCUUGAAUAAUGAUGUGAUAACCGUAGGCAUGAAAUGGCCCAAGACAGUGUCCACAAGUUUGGAAGGAAAUACAAUUACUGGCCAAGACUGAGCCAAGACAAUGGGCUGGAGAGCUAUUUUUAAGGGGAAAUAUUAGAAAAAGAAAGCUAGAAAAAAUGUUAGUACUUGUAGUCACUGUCCAACCCCCAAAGCCAUCCCGUCACAGCUGCAGUUUCUGCGAAAAAGUUGCCGCUUAAAGUUUUCAAAUUAUUCCAAGUAGGGCAGAGCAGAGGAUUAUGCCUCGUCCCAGGCUCUGGCGCCUUGGAUUAGACUCGAAUUAAAUUGGAAUUAAAUUUUCCAGUUUAAAGCGCGACAGAGUGAACUGAAACGAAUUAAGCAGCCGUCUAGGAAUUGAAAUAAGCAAUUGAAUGGCUGGAAUCACAACCAAAUUGCUUAGCAGAGAGUUAAAUAUUAGACAGUUGCUUCGAUUUAUUGGCCAAAAAAACACAUUAAUUGCUUCAUAAAUUAUAAUAAUGGCAUAAAUUCAAAUUCAAUUCAUAAAUAAAGGAGUGGAGACCAACAAUAUUUGCAUAAUUAAUUUUUAUUUUAAUUAUAAUUUUUGCGCUUUUGGUGAAAAACUGAAAUGUAAACAAUUAUUAGCCAGCAAUAGUAAAUAUUAAACAUGUUUAAUAUUUCAAAACCCUGUUUAAACUUGGCCAACAAAUCAACAUAAAUUAAUCAACUCAUAUCGCCAUAAAAAUGUCUCUUAAAUUAAUUUUCAUCUACAUAUAUUCCCUGUUUACCUUUUCCAUAAAAAAUGAAGAUGGGAAAAAUCCAAAAAUACAUAUAUUUUUUUGGGGCUUAUGCUAAUGAAUGGGCAUCUCACUCCCUGGAUGACAAAAACUUUUGGCCACAAAUUCUGACGGGCUAAUGGAAUGUGUGGACUUUCAGCUGUCACUUGGCUCUUGGCUCUUGCUAAUUAAAAAAUUCAAUACUAGAAAUAAAUGUCAGAAAUCGGACCACGAAAGAAAGUUGAGCAAACAAACAUAAAUAAUCAAAACUGCACGGCAGAGAUCUUCUUCUCAAAGUCCCCCACAGAGUUCCCACAGGUUUUUAUGUUGAAGUCUAGCCUCUAGUGAGAUGCUGUAAUCAUAUGCAAGUGUUGUGGCAUUAGAGGCCGUAAAAUUCAAUCAAAUUUCAUAGCAUUCAUGGCAUUAGCAACUCCCAGAACUUUGCCGACAAACAGAUGCUCGUAGAUAGACAGUUAUGUGUGGCAGAGUCAGUAGAGUCAGCAGAGUCUUAAUUAUAUAUCAAAUAUAUCGCCUUGCUGAUUGAUCUCAAGCUGCUUCAGAGGUAUGGCAGUCUCCCCUCCGAGUCAGGCCAUAAAAUCAACAUAAAUCUGAGUUAUAAAAAGUCAUGUUCGGCUGCACUUAAUUAGCGGCCGACCUCUACUGAAUGAGUGUCAUGCCCAUAUGUCCUCUUCUAUUUAGGAGAGAUGCCAUCUUCUCCGAAAAAGGAGCCUCUUCUGAACCAUAAUUCAAACAAUUUGCUGAUGCGUGUGCCACGGGGUGUUGAGCCCAAAAUGUCAGCAAUAUAUAUCACUCCACUCUUCUUCAGAUUCAGAGCUACAUAAAUCCAGAACAUAUUCCCACUGUCGCCUCGUGCAACAAAAAUUAAAUGGUGUGAACGAAAUUUUAUGCCGAAUCAUGCGUGGAAAAUGAUGAAGAUGCUGGAUGCCGGGGUAGUAGUGUCUUGCUUGAAAUAUAUUCUCUUGGCCCAUUUCAUUUGUUUAUGGUUUUUUGAAGACUACCCCCAGUGUGCAGUGGAAGAAAUUACAAUCAACUAGAUGGAGUUAUAUACCAAAAGAGGACUUGCCAUAAUCAACUUUCUUUGAAGAGUGUAUGACUGCGUGGAGGGCCUUGUUAGAUGAAGAUGCACUCACACUCGGGCCAUGAUAACUGGGCCCGAAAUUAAGUUGAAAACAAUUUAAAUUUGUUAGAAGCCGCCGGCAACGAGGCUCUUGCUCUUGGAUGGAAACACUUUCAGCCACAACAGCCAUAGCACCGGGGACAUCAAAUGGGCCAAAUGGGGCGACUGGGGCAGCCAGAGGAUGGUGGUCCAGAGAGAUGUUGACGGCAAACGACAGCCGAGAGACUCUUGGAAACUUCACUUAUAUUUCUAUUUGGUUUCUUUUUCUUUUUGGCUGCACUUUUAUGAGUAAUUUCAUGUUGUGCGAGUCUUAGUUGAUGUUUUACUUUUUUUUUGGGGAAUUUUAUGGACUAGUAGAGCUCUUCAGGGAAGGUGUUGAUAGUGGAGGGAGGCACCUACCACUAGGCUACCAAGAAGGCAGUUUUAUUUUACGAUUUUGUUUACGUUUAACAAAUGCCAACAAAGUAUCUUUAAGGAUUACUACUUGUAGAUACAUUUCAGUCUUCUGUCAAUCAAGAUCUAGUCUCUUCCCUCUUUGGAUCAUUGCAACUUUAUUUCAAGCGUAGCAUCUCAAGAUUCUCAGAUUUCUCGGCUGUUUUGGCAGCUUCUGGAGUUCCAUCCACCCCGAAAACACUCGACCUCUUGGACGACAAUUAAGUGAUUCAUUAAAAAUGACAGACUCGGAAUUCAAUUGAGAGUUAGAGUCGAGUCUGAAGUCCUCUUUUCUAGUUUCAAGUUGAAGUUCCGAAUAGAAACCCCAAAAAAAAUAGUGGAGGAAGUGCGCCCUCCACAAACACACAUCGCUUUGGAAGAUAAUGGAAUAAAAGAAAGUUGUUGAUGUUGCCGACAAUAUGAGAAUGACUACCGUUUCAGAAUCCUACCGUCUGGCCUGUCCUGGCCUGGCCGUACGUGCCCAAGUAUUCGAAAAACUCAUUUAAAUCCGAUGGACAAGAGGUCUGAGAACUGGAGAAAUAGUGAAAAUCAAAUGCAAACGACAAACGACCAGGGCUGACGCUGACAUUUGAUGCCGAAUUCUCGAGUGGGCCGGUCCUCCGACCAUCCGUAGAGGCAGUGGCAGCCAAAACACUUGAGAAAUUGCCGCCGCUGUCGUUUAAAAGAUGAUGGCAUGAGAUACACGACGAGUGCGAAUGUGAAGUUCCCUCGAAAUGCACUGAGAGAAAUACUAAAAGUAAUAUAACUCUAAACCCUUACUAUGCUAACAUUUGGCAAGCGACUUUUUUGAACAGUACUGUAGACCAGAGGCUGGUCGAGUCGUAAAUAUGAAACACAAACAAAACACCACCAGGUCCAGACCAGAGACCCCAGUCCGAUUCCGAGGCCGUGGCAUUAGUAUACGGAAGCCGAAAACAAAAAAAAAUUACAAUCUCAACAGUUUGGCAGACAGACGAUGAUGACAGCCAGAGAUGCAGUGGCGUCUGGGGGUCCAAGGGGUUCCAAGCAGGCCAUAAACUGGCGACUAUGAAGAUAUAUUAGGCAAAUAGAUGGAUGGAUGACUACAGGCCGCCAUCUCCAUCUCCAACGCGUCUGUCUUUCUUUUUUUCCAGCCGAAGAGAAACAAUUUUCGACAACGUUUUGGCAAAAAUGCAAAUGGAGUUUGACAGAAAGCCGCCGCCGCCAAGUUCUCUGAGGAAAAUAAUAAUAAAAGAUGCAAUGAUGGACAAAAUUAUGGCUAGGAAGGCCUUCUAGAGAUGUAGAUAUUUAUAAAAAGGAUUUCUAUUCUUCCUUUGAGCAAAUACUAUAAUAUUUCGACAUCCCUAUUGCGAGUUAUGACGAAACUGAUGAACAUUAGAAGAGAGUUUUUCUUCUAGCUACCUGACAUAUAGACACACACACUCUUAUAGAGACUCUUGGCCGGGUCUCGAAUUACACGGCCAUGAAUAGGUUGGACGGGGAAACAAAAAAUUUAUUACAAAAGAUAGACAAAAGAUGCGAAAUAUGUGCCCCUGACUGCCACCACCACUACUACUCUGAUGGCUUCUGAAGUUUUUCGAUGACGAUGACGAUGAGUAUGGGAAUGUUGGCAUCUGCUGGUUUUCUACACUGCUGCGGAAAAGUUAACGCACGCAGUAUAGUAUGUGCAAAAAAAUAAAAAAAAUGUCUGCCUGUCCAGAGCCAGGCUAGCCGCAUAAAUACUCUCCGGGGAGUUGUUAGUUUCGUGGGGAUUUCUCGUGAGGCAUGCCUCAAAAUAUGCGAAGCCUUCAGGGCAUCAUCGGGUCAUACCUUCCCCUACACUCUUAACAAUGAUUUAUAUACUUUUUUCUUUAUUUUUCUAUAAGAAAAUAUUUAUUAAAUUUGUAUUUAAAAUUUAUCAGAAUUAUUUAAAGUGGUUGGAAGCCACCCAUGUGGCUUGUGAAGCACGUGUAUCGUGUAUGGCUCUGCUGCAACAUGUAUUUAUGUAUGAUUGUUAAAUGGAAAGCAUAAACAAGCACGGCCCAAGCCCUCUGUAGCUGCAACAAAGGGCAUCUCACUGAAAUAUGCUGCAAAACUGCGAAUUGCAAACUGCAAACUGCAAAACGAAACGAAACGAAACCAAACGAAACGCACUGUGAGCAACAAUUUAUGACCAACAUUCAGCAACAACGCAACUGAAAAACUACAAAAAAAAAAACUAAAAAAAAAAGAAGGAAAAAAUACAAGCUGAAUUGUUUGCGGCAGCAUAAAAAGUAGCCAAACAGAAGGGGCGGUUGAGGCGGGGCAGCAGCAACUUGGUUGCUGGAUGCGGUCGCUAGCUGCAUUUCUUUGCAUAAAUUGCAACAUUUUGUGGCACUGAGACUUGAAGUUGCUAGUGCUGGUGCUGUGCGCUUAGGCAAUUUGUCAUUGGUACUAGCUCUUCGGUAUAAAGAUAUCUCAGAUACAAAUGUAUCUCAGCGUGUGAUGGAAAGGCUAUGAACAGGUUGCUGGCUUUUAAAGCCGGCUUUUAAGCCUUAAAGCUCUGAAAGACAAGCUAGAUGCCAGAAAUAAAUGAAAUAUUAUAGUUUAUAUUAUAUAUUUUAAGCCACCUGCUCUUAUUUUGACUUAAUUGAUUAUUUUUUCUUGUGGGAAACCCCCUUAGUAUAAAAUAGAAAACUAUUUCCACACGCCCCGGCAAUUGAGGAGAAAGAAGUAAGACAUAAAUAUGCUCCUGCCACACUGAGAUUACCCCAUAGCCCCCGAAAUGCAUUUACGGCAACUCAACUGAUGCAAAUCUAAUACUCACACACAGAUACUCACACACAGAUACUCACAGAGAGACAGCCAGGAGUGCUAGUGUGAGUGAGUGGCGGGGCCCAGUGCAAAAUAUAAACCUCUCAAGUGCAAAAACCAUUCAAAAACUAAGCUAAAUUUAUUUAAGGAACACCAAACAGCGACGACGGCGAUGCCGACGAGUGCGAGUGCAGUCUGCACAUUUUUUUUUUCCACAACAUCCCGCCGUUCUUCUGCACUUUUCACUUGGCAGGAAUAAAAAAUAGGAACUGAGAGGAAAAGCCAACGCAAAUGCGAGCAAAGCCCGAACCGAAACUGAACUAAACUCUGCUGGCGUCAAAGGAGGAAAAUAGAAAAGCUCCAAACUUUUAUUUUUGAAUGAUAACGACUGUUUGAUUUACCUAUCCAGGAGGGAGUUAGCCAGAUAUUAUCCUAAAAUAAUGAUAUAGGGGGGCUUGAAGUUCUAAUAACAUUUAAUUGCCUAUCUUAAUUCGUAUAAGAGUGAUCUAGAGAUCUUAUAGACCUCAUAGUAGCCUCCUUAAGGUUUCCUGGGUUUAAAUAUAUAAAAUAAAAUAGUGAUAUGUUGCUUCUAAAAGGCAUUAAAAUAUUUUUGUUGCCUAUCUUAAGGCGUAUAAGAGUGUUGAAGUGAUCUUACAGACCUCUCAUUAGUCUUUCCAGGGGUAAGGGGUUUGAAUAGCUUUUCUAAAAAAAAAAUAUCAGGGUUAUAAAAGGCCUAAUAUUAUUGUGUUUCUUAUCUUGGCCCUUGUGAGAGUUAUUCAGAACCAUCUUAUAGAGAUAUAAGAUAAACCUACAAACAUCUUGAAGUCCUAUUAUAAUUUUUUCAUUGCCUAUCUUAAGGCUUAAUCCAGAGGAAGGUGAUCCAGAACGUAUAGAAUUCAUAGUGACUUUCCUAAGGGUAGGCGGUUUGAAUAGGUAUUAAAAAAUAAUGGUAUAUGGGUUCUUAAAGGACUAAGAGGCAAGAAGUGCUCCUAAACACCCCUUAGUAGCCUUUUUAAGAAUAAGAAGCUUUAGUAUAUAUCCUAAUAUAACGAAAUACAUAUUUAUGUGUUCUAAAAGGCCUAUCUUAAGGCUUCUGAUACUGGUCCAGAACCAUCCUAUAGACCUCAUAGUACCCCUUCUAAAGGGUAUCAAAUAAAAGUGGUAGGAAAACGCAAAUAGAGGCAGCGGAGCGGAGUUGAGCUGCCGGCAAAUGUCGUCAGCAAAGAGCAAGGACUAGAGAGCUAGGGGGGAAAAGUCGAGGGAAAAGCUGUAGUGGAGGUGAUGGUGGUGCACCUGGUGGUCCUAGCAAGGGUGGUGGUGGUCCUAGCGUUGGUGUAGGUGUAGCUGAAUGUGAAUUGCAGGAAUGAAUUUCAGGUGGCGGCUGAAAAACACUCGGGAAAAUACGUCCCAGGCUCUCUCUCUCUACCUUUCUGGCGAGGUCCUGUGCCACGGAUAACGGAUGCGUGUGGUGUUUGGUAGUAGUAGUGUUGUGGCAUGAAUGUGUGUGUGGAUCUGGCAUGGUGUUGGAGGCACAGCGACGUGUGCAUGCAAGGUGCUCGUAUAAUGCGUUGUGCGUGUUAAAAGAUAGUUUCGCCCGGCUCAACCCGGCGGAUCCAAAAUCCGGCGGCACUAGCUCCGCUCCGGUAGCAGCCCAGCAGAAUGGUAGAAAAAUGGUAGUGGGAAAACCCAACCAACCAACCGCCACUAGCCCAGCGACAGCGACAGGUAGUUUAACACAUUGGAAAAUCCCAAACGCCGUGACACGACUCGUUGUUGCUUUUGUCGCUUUUUUGGGGUUACUGCUACUGCUGCUCCUGUGCGGCGGCUACUGGAUGUGGAGUGGAGUGUGGCUAUAGCUGGGAGACUGCGAAGGAGUGCUGGAGUGUAGACUCCCUAAUGUAAUAGGUCUGGGGAUCAAGGCAGUCCUUUGUCUGCUUGCCGCGUUUUGUGGCAGAGGGUCUAGUAGUAGUUUUUGUCUAAAACUUUCAAAAAGGUUUAAUUUGUUUUAUUAAAUUAUUAUAUUUUAUUUUUAGAUUCUACUGUUCUUCUAUUCUCUUGGCAAUUAAUAUUUUUUCCUUAUUUUUCCCUUGUUGAACAAACGUGAGCAAUCCGAUAACUCUUAGGUAUUAUUUUCUUAUUUUUUUUUGUUGUCUAUGUUGCGCGUGCUUCUUGCCCCAUGUUGCCAGGCAGGCUCUUAAGCCCAGCCAGAGUGCCCCUGCCACCAGGCCAUUCCCAUUCCCAGCAUCGUCAUGUCGUCUUUCUGGCAGAGACUCCUCCCCAUCCCUUUUGUGACCUUCGAUGUUCAAUGUUGGAUGUUCGGGCUGCUGGGAGCUCUCGGGUUCUUCGGGUUCUCCGGGUCUCUGGUUCUCCGGUUCCUAGACAAAUAUUAUUGUUUCCAACACCCCGUUAUUGCAUAUUUGCCUUAAAUAUACGUGUAUAUAUUUUUUCAAAGUGUGAAUGAAAUUAAUGCGUUGCACGGUCCCGUGUCUCUCUCAUCGGCCAAAUGGAGAAGGAAUUUUUCCCUUCUAUUUUUUUUCUCCAAUUUCUUUCCCAUUUUUUUUCCCAUACAAUUUUUGAAAUGUUUUGUUUUGUUUCUAUUGUUUGUUCUCUGUCCAAUAGCCCUUCCCCUCGAAUACCUUUUUCUAUUUUCACAGAGACUAGGGAGUAAGGGACUAGGGACUAUGGACUAUGGACUAUGGACUGAGGACUAAACGUUAUUAAAUGCAGGCAAAUGCCUCGUCCAAUGGCAUUUGUAGUGUUGUCUUAGUCGCUGUCGUCGUUGUGUUUUUUUUUUUUCCAGUAGUAGUCGCAUAAAGGCCAGAAUAUAUAUAUACAUGAAAUAUUUUCCCACUCUUCCCACUACCCAUUUUUUGCGGCAGCAUUGAGUGUUUAUUUUUUUGUGUUGCCUACAUUUUUGGGUGGGUGGCCAGCGUUGGCAGCAAAUAGUUGCUAAAAUAAGUGGUGCUACCAUGGAAAAGGACUUUAAAUACCAAAACUACAAAUUCUUAAUUAUUUUAAGCAACAAAAGUCCUUAAAACCAAAACACUUUCCCAAAACAAUCUCCAAUGAUAGUCAAUACAGAGUCCUGGUCAAUUGCUUCCAUUAAUUGGCCCAAUUUAUAUGAAAUUCUCUCACUCACUCAGUUGCAACUUCCUGGCUGCAAACUUUAAGACUAUUUUCCACAAAAAAACACACAAAAAACUAGAAACUUUUUCCCACCAAAAAGUAUAAGAAAAUGGUUGUGUUUGUGGCUCACAACUUUUUCCUUUCCACAAUUAGCCUUAACUGAUUUAUGUUCUUAAAGGGACUUUACUUAGAUCUCCCUUUUCUAUAGACUAUAUAUCUAUAUGUCUAUAUAUCUAUGGCAACCUGCGGCCAGUUGGGCCAGUAAUCCCACUGAAUAGGCACAAACACCUGUUCGUUCCAUGCAUCAUUGGGCAUUUGGUUCCUCCCAGUUCUUUCCCAACUUUAUGCCUAUAGGUGCUGAGUAAUGUCAUUGGCCACUGUUUUCAACACCUGUUACCGGCUGGCAGGGCCCACUGUACCUGGCUCUGGCUCUGGCCUCCUGCCUCCUCCUCCUCCCACUCUAAUGCUAAUGCUAAGUAGCUUUAAGGCUGCCGCAUCGCUUGGUCGUUAAGCGGCUGUGGGGGCGUUUUUUGUGGAGGGCGUGGCUACACACACAAAGGCACAAAAAAAAAAUACAAAAAAACGAAAAAAAGGCCGCCCUAAAUGCU